rnacentral:rRNA from 2 species
GAUUAGAAGCUUGCUUCUAUGACGUUAGCGGCGGACGGGUGAGUAACACGUGGGCAACCUGCCUGUAAGACUGGGAUAACUUCGGGAAACCGAAGCUAAUACCGGAUAGGAUCUUCUCCUUCAUGGGAGAUGAUUGAAAGAUGGUUUCGGCUAUCACUUACAGAUGGGCCCGCGGUGCAUUAGCUAGUUGGUGAGGUAACGGCUCACCAAGGCAACGAUGCAUAGCCGACCUGAGAGGGUGAUCGGCCACACUGGGACUGAGACACGGCCCAGACUACUACGGGAGGCAGCAGUAGGGAAUCUUCCGCAAUGGACGAAAGUCUGACGGAGCAACGCCGCGUGAGUGAUGAAGGCUUUCGGGUCGUAAAACUCUGUUGUUAGGGAAGAACAAGUACGAGAGUAACUGCUCGUACCUUGACGGUACCUAACCAGAAAGCCACGGCUAACUACGUGCCAGCAGCCGCGGUAAUACGUAGGUGGCAAGCGUUAUCCGGAAUUAUUGGGCGUAAAGCGCGCGCAGGCGGUUUCUUAAGUCUGAUGUGAAAGCCCACGGCUCAACCGUGGAGGGUCAUUGGAAACUGGGGAACUUGAGUGCAGAAGAGAAAAGCGGAAUUCCACGUGUAGCGGUGAAAUGCGUAGAGAUGUGGAGGAACACCAGUGGCGAAGGCGGCUUUUUGGUCUGUAACUGACGCUGAGGCGCGAA